AGAGUUUGAUCCUGGCUCAGGAUGAACGCUGGCGGCGUGCCUAAAACAUGCAAGUCGAGCGGUAAGGCUCUGCACUUAGUGUUUGAUCGGGAUAAUUUUUUAAGAUUAUCGUAGCAGACCAAUUUGACCCUUGGCGGGGAAGAUGCGGAAUGGGAAGAUCGAAUCAUAAGUGUAGAGUACACGAGCGGCGGACGGGUGAGUAACACGUGGGAAUCUACCCCAAACUGAGGGAUAAGCACCGGAAACGGUGUCUAAUACCGCAUAUGGUCUUCGGAUUAAAGCUUCGGCGGUUUGGGAAGAGCCCGCGCAAGAUUAGCUAGUUGGUGAGGUAAAGGCUCACCAAGGCUACGAUCUUUAGCUGGUUUGAGAGGAUGAUCAGCCACACUGGAACUGAGACACGGUCCAGACUCCUACGGGAGGCAGCAGUUAGGAAUUUUCCACAAUGGGCGCAAGCCUGAUGGAGCAACGCCGCGUGCAGGAUGAAGGUUUUCGGAUUGUAAACUGCUUUUAUGUGCGAAGAAUAUGACGGUAACACAUGAAUAAGGAUCGGCUAACUCCGUGCCAGCAGCCGCGGUCAUACGGAGGAUCCAAGCGUUAUCCGGAUUUACUGGGCGUAAAGAGUUGCGUAGGUGGUUUGUUAAGUGAAUAGUGAAAUCUUGUGGCUCAACCAUAAGGCUAUUAUUCAAACUGGCAAACUCGAGAAUGAGAGAGGUCACUGGAAUUCCUUGUGUAGGAGUGAAAUCCGUAGAUAUAAGGAGGAACACCAAUGGCGUAGGCAGGUGACUGGCUCAUUUCUGACACUGAGGCACGAAAGCGUGGGGAGCGAACGGGAUUAGAUACCCCGGUAGUCCACGCCGUAAACGAUG
rnacentral:rRNA from 1 species